CACGGCCACUGGCACCAGGGCUGGGAGCCGCACAGUGAGCCAGAAGUCAUCCAUUCGGGAAGCAGGCUGGGCGCCCGCAGGCUAGUGGGGACCAAGAGGGUAAUGGGCUCAGCCUCUGGAAAGGGAGAGACCCAGCCUCGCUCUUCAUUAGUGGCCGCUGCUGAUUAGUCGGAGCAUCGCUCUGGAAAAAGCAUCAAAGGCCCGGGGAAGAGCGUUUCCAGAAUGCGCGCAGACCCACGUGCAACCACACCAUCCAGUAUCAAACCACACGGAUCGUUCCUUUGUGCGCCAGGAAAUCAAAGCUUCCCAAAGCAUUGCAAAGCGGUCGUACGCACCAGCAACGAACAGAUUAAUUAAACGAAAUGAAGACCCGGGUGGCCAAAGAAAAGAGGAACGCUAUUUAAACACCAAAUUGUAUUUACUUUUUGCUUAUUAUUAUUGUAAGGAACACAUGGCAUGGAACAUUCACACG
rnacentral:lncRNA from 1 species